ensembl:lncRNA
UUUAAAAAUAUUUUUUCUAACUGAUUACAGAGUUGGAAAAAUUGAUAGUUUGAAAAGUGUUGGAUUUGAAUUGAGUUCACAUAAAAAAUUAUGAAACUGACCUCUCUGGACAGUGAAUGAUGAUACUAGGAAGGGUAGCUGUGCCUUUGUCCAUCUAGGCACUAUUUUCCCAUGGUCACAUGAUGACUCUGUUUUUUUGGUGAUUUGUUUAUUCUUUUCUAAUAUUAGAUUAAAAACCAUACUUAAAUGGAAUUGCAUAGCAGUGACUUUAGAAUUUGGGACAUCCAUCAAAGUCAUUACAAGUUCAACUGAGAAGCUCAGAGCCCUAAGAAAAAUAGUAAUCAAAUACCCUUUGGAUAUUCAACCUAUAAUGUGGCUGGGAGAAGGCAGAGGGAGCUUCAAGAGAGAGAAUAAAGAUAAUAGCCCUAGGAUAUGAUUAAUCAAUAACAAUGAAGAUGGAAAUUUAAGAAAUUAUUAUGGAUGAGAAGAGGAAGGAGCAUAUUCCAUACUAGGCUGCCAUGCUCAAGGUUAGUGUAUGUAGAAAAGCCUAGACAAAAGCCCAGAAACUCAGAGAAUGCAUCCUGAGGGUUGGAUCAAGAAACUCUUCAGACAUACUUCCCUUCUUAUCCCAGUCACAGGGUAUUAAAGGAUUUGGAAUCUCCAAGGAAAUAGAUAUAUACUUCAGUCAUCCAAAGCUGUAACUCAAAAGUAAUUUUUUUGCUUACAACUAUUCCUGCAUAUGGUUUCUAGGUUUUUUAGUACUAAAGUUAUAGUACACAUCACUCAGUUUAUCAGCACUCAUCAUUCUAAGCACUGUGCUAGAUACUGGAGAUAUAAAGAAAAAAAUUAAAUAAUCUGUGACUUCAAAGAACUACAUUUUAUAUAUGUACUUAAAAUACCUAAGAAAAUUGUGGGCUUUCCAGGGAGCUUAAUCAUCACAGAAUCACAGAUUGUUAGAGUUAAAAAAAAGUUAUAGAUUUGGGGGAAUACAGAACAAAGAACAGAACCUCACGGGGUUGAGGACAACAUAACUGGUUACAUAACUGAAGUGUGAUUGAAGUAUGAAAUGUGAAUAUGAUUGGUUAAAAUUUGGUUAUGAGGGAUUAGCAAUGAUUUAUUUCUUCCUUUCUGAGACUAAGAAGUGCUCAUUGUUUGAGUUCAAGUGCAAGACAGUAUCUUUGAAAGAUAACUUGGUAGUGUAAAGAUAAUAGGCCACAUUAGGCAUCCUCCAUGGACAGCAACAUUUCUUGAGGCAAGAAUGGAGCAAUGAUUAGUGAGAGAACUGGAUUUUUAAAUAUAACCCAUUACAGGUCAGCUGAAUCUCUAAACUAAAUUGAGAGACAAAGAACUAUGACUUAAGCAGUUAUAAGAUAAAUUAUAAGAUAAAACAGUUACAUGACAAAAUCAAUUAAUUGUAAAUAGGAUCAAUUAAAUUGAUACAGGAUCAAUUCAAUUAUCUCAAUGGGGAAAGAUUUAAAAUACUGAGAUAUUUAUUAUUUUGCAUUAGUCUUGGUGUGAGAGAGUGAGGGACUGCACCAAGGUACUGGCAGUGGCAGAAAAGAGGUACAUAUGAAAGAUCUUAUGAAGGUAGAAAGGACAGAACUUAACAAUUGAUUAGAUAUGCAUGUGAGAGUGAAGGAGAUGCAGCUGGAUUACAAGCCUGAGUGACUGAGAAAGAUGGUGAUGUCCUCAACAGUAAAACAUAAGUUUGGAAAAGGGGAGAAUUUUGGAGGAGACAUGUUUAGUUUGGUUUUAGACAUGUGGGGUUUAUAAUGCCUACAGAUUAUAUAGUUGGAGAUGGAGAAGGGAAGAGACUAUAGAUAGUCCAGAGGUGCUGACUUGGGGCGGGGAGAGCUGAAAGGUACAGAGAUUGGAGGUGAUGGUGAGGAAGAAGACAUAUAACAGGAUUGAUUUAUUUUGCAUUUCUUUAAUUCUUAAAAAUUUGGGAAUUUUAAAAUAAUUGUUGGUAGCUUAGAUUUGCCUCUUUCAAGAACUUCCCAUUCAC